AGAGUUUGAUCCUGGCUCAGGACGAACGCUGGCGGCGUGCCUAAUACAUGCAAGUCGAGCGAACCAAUAAGAAGCUUGCUUUUUGUUGGUUAGCGGCGGACGGGUGAGUAACACGUGGGUAACCUGCCUGUAAGACCGGGAUAACUCCGGGAAACCGGUGCUAAUACCGGAUAGAUUAUCUUUCCGCCUGGAGAGAUAAGGAAAGAUGGCUUUUGCCAUCACUUACAGAUGGGCCCGCGGCGCAUUAGCUAGUUGGUGAGGUAAUGGCUCACCAAGGCGACGAUGCGUAGCCGACCUGAGAGGGUGAUCGGCCACACUGGGACUGAGACACGGCCCAGACUCCUACGGGAGGCAGCAGUAGGGAAUCUUCCGCAAUGGACGAAAGUCUGACGGAGCAACGCCGCGUGAGUGAAGAAGGCCUUCGGGUCGUAAAACUCUGUUGCCGGGGAAGAACAAGUGCCGUUCGAACAGGGCGGCGCCUUGACGGUACCCGCCAGAAAG
rnacentral:rRNA from 1 species